AGAAGAGUCAACACAGCUCAGAGAUUGACAGUGACUGCUCUGCUUUUGCGAUACCAGGGAUAGAACUCUGCAAACAUCUCUGCUUCGCAGCUGGCAUCCUGUUGGAUUUUUCCAGUAGAGGGAAGCUUCCAUGCUGCAGGAAGAAGGGGCGUGCUCCUUCCCGUUCCUGUCAGCACUGCUGCAGCAGUUUGCUCUCACAGCGCAUGUGAUCACAGUUGCCAUUUCUGACCUGCUCAGAACCAGCUUCAUGAUGGGCUCAAAGACCCAGGACCAGAUGCUCUUUUGACCUCUCUGACUUCAGUCCUUCUGGAGUCAGAUCACCCAGCUUCUCUGAUGAGUGACUGGUCAUUUUUAAAGCAUGCCUGCAGCAGUCUUCAAGAAGUUUCUGCCUGGGCAUCACAAUCAGCACACAUUUGCUCAUACACAUACCAGCUCUGGCAUGUACACGUGGCCACGGUACCCUUCAUACAACACGGGAUGAGAACAACAGGACGCCCAGGAGGCAUCUGGACAGCACACAGCA
rnacentral:antisense_RNA from 1 species